GCCGUUUGAUCGAAGUGACCCGUAGGCCGUAAGCCGAAAACCUCAAACACGUCUCUCUCUCUCACUCUCACUCUCACUCUCGCUCCCACCUAUUUUCUGGUAAUUUUCAGAAAAUCGAAACUGGCGAAUCCUCAAGCUCACGCAUCUACUUCGAGCAGUCAGUCAUGGAUACUGGCAGCCGGCUCUCUUCUCCUUCUCAUCCUAGUUGCCGCUCACGUCCUCGCUCUGGUUUACUGGGUUUUUCGCCUUGCAACCGAGAAGCAGCCUCAAAGAACUAAGCGACACUAGUUCCCUGGAAGGAUCAAUUCACUUCACUUCGUUCUCUUGCGAUCAUUACGGGAUACUAUCUUCAUUCAACAACUAUCCCAGAUCACAUGGAGACUUCAUUUUUACCAGAGGCCAUAGGAAUGUAUCUCCUCCUCUCUUGAAUGCUUUCAUGUAUAUUUGUCUACUCCACUAUUCGAUUUUUCCUUAAUAUUUAGGUGGAACUUGUGUCUCUGGUUCAUGUGUUCAACAAUGCAUUCUUAACCUCCCUAAAAAUGUUCCUUUUAUUUUAAAGGAUAAUGACAAAUACUUCAAAUAAUUUGUCCCAAAUGAUGUGGCUUCAUCUGAUUUGUUCCAAAUUUUUAUAACCAGAUGGAACCAUAUUAUUUGUGCCAAAUUAUUUGGUAGCCACCUGGCAUUUUCCA